CAACACCAACGAGGCUUGUUUGACACGUCAUCACUCAUGCACAUUGCUCAUCAUCUUCUUCCCUAAUAAAACUCGGAGAGAAAAAGAAACAAAAUUUAUGACAGACUCUGUUUGAUUUUGAUUUCCUCUCACUUCCCCCACUUUCGAACGUUCCUCAGUAUCGUUGGGAUUUCAAAUUCUGUUGGCGGAUUAGAUUUCAAAAAUCAAACCUUUUUUUUGUUUUUGUUUUUUUCUGUUGAGGUUGUGAUCAUAUAUGUUUGGAAUUCAAAUAAAGAGCGGUUUUAUUGGGAGCUUUGCUGAUUGAUGACGAGCUCUAACCUCGUUGCCCAAAAUGCCGUUUUACUUUGCUCGUGAGGCUCCUAAGUUGUGGAGGAAAAUAUGCAACGAGUCGUCAACUGAAGCUUCGCUUCUUGCUGGGAAUUGGAAGUUUGUUCUUGCUGGUCUCAUUUGUCAGUAUCUUCAUGGACUGGCUGUGCACGGAGUUCAUUAUCUACAUCGGCCAGGACCAAUACUUCAGGAUGCUGGCUUCUUUUUACUCCCGGAACUUGGACAAGACAAAACUUAUCUGAGUGAGACUCUGUUUGCUGUUGUAUUUUUUUCUUUUAUCUUGUGGACAUUUCACCCGUUUGUUUUUCAGAGCAAAAAAAUCUAUACAGUUCUGAUAUGGUGCAGGGUACUUGCUUAUUUAGCUGUGUCUCAGUUUCUCCGGAUCAUCACCUUCUACGCUACUCAGCUUCCUGGUCCAAACUAUCAUUGCCGCGAGGGCUCAGAACUUGCCAGGCUGCCCCCUCCAAAGAGUGCACUUGCAGUGCUCUUAAUCAACUUUCCCCGAGGUGUUAUGUAUGGCUGUGGUGAUUUGAUUUUUUCAUCACACAUGAUUUUCACUUUAGUAUUUGUGCGCACAUUUCAGAAAUAUGGAACAAGGAGGUGCAUCAAGCAGUUUGCUUGGUUGGUUUCUGUGAUUCUAAGUGUCUUGAUUAUAGCAUCUCGUAAACAUUACACCGUUGAUGUUGUUGUUGCCUGGUACACUGUAAAUUUGGUAGUUUCCUUUGUCGACCAAAAAUUGCCAGAAUUGCCUGAUCGUUCCUUGGGUUCUACAUCUCCACCGCUACUACCAACGAGUACCAAGGAUAGGGACAGCAAAAACAGAGAAGAGCUUGAAAAAUUCCGGAAUGGAAAUUCUUCUGACAUCAGCACACGGGUCUGAAAAAUUAGUAAAUAUUCUCAGUCCUAUCCAGUUUGUCUUGUCUUGUGGAUGCUUUUCUCCGGAUUGUAGGUCAGAGAAGCUGACAUCUUCGGGAUAUCAACAUACUUAGCAGUAUAUGGUAAAUAGAUGAGCAGCACAAGCUGAAGAUGGCUUUGCUGCUGUUAGUCUUAGCCCUACCAAUGUCAAAAGUAUCCAACAGAAAAAUUAUGGCAUAUGUGCAUGGACCUCCAUUCUGGGAUUUUAUUUUGGUGAAAUGCAAAAGGCUGCCUCCAGUUCUGAACAACCAGGAUCAGUAAAAAAGUAGAAUGGUAGAGCUGUGUUCAACUUUCUUUGUUUUGGUCUGGCCAUAUCAUGGAUUCAGUUUUGAGUUGAAAUUUUCCAAAUUUGUGAAUGUCCUCCCUUGGUGGAAUCUUAGGUCAUUAUGUGCUCAUCAUCUGUUCCUGUGUAUAGUAAAGGGUUAAAACCAUUUUUUGGUUCCUGUAUUUUGGUAAAAUUUCAAUUUUCAUACCAAAUUUCUUCAUGUAGUCAUCAAGUAU